ACGGAAGGCAGCAGUGGGGGAUAUUGCACAAUGGAGGAAACUCUGAUGCAGCAACGCCGCGUGAGGGAAGAAGGUUUUCGGAUUGUAAACCUCUGUUUUAAGUGACGAACACAAUGACGGUAGCUUAAGAGGAAGCCACGGCUAACUACGUGCCAGCAGCCGCGGUAAUACGUAGGUGGCAAGCGUUGUCCGGAUUUACUGGGUGUAAAGGGUGCGCAGGCGGGACUGCAAGUUGGAUGUGAAAUACCGGAGCUUAACUCCGGAACUGCAUCCAAAACUGUGGUUCUUGAGUGGAGUAGAGGUAAGCGGAAUUCCGAGUGUAGCGGUGAAAUGCGUAGAUAUUCGGAGGAACACCGGUGGCGAAGGCGGCUUACUGGGCUCUAACUGACGCUGAGGCACGAAAGUGUGGGUAGCAAACAGGAUUAGAUACCCUGGUA
rnacentral:rRNA from 2 species